rnacentral:lncRNA from 1 species
GGUGGCUGGACGGUAAUGCUAGGGAAGCUAGAGGUUUGGUUUUGUUUUGGUCAAAAAAGUUGAAGAAAGAUGAGUGGUGAAGUUGGAUUUAUGAAGGUAGAACUUGGUUUUGCUAUGCUUGUGUUGAUUUGCAUUUGAAACUUGGGUUUCUUUGUGUGUGUUCUCGGUAAUGGAGCAUGGAAGGAACAAUUUGAAUGUUGCUUGUUGAAGAAAAACCAAAAAGAGUGGUGCAAGGAGAGAGAAUGCUUCAUUUAAUUCUUUACCUCAUUUGGCCAUGCACAUGAAGGGGAAAUUUUCCAUAGGAAGGAAUAUUUCCAUUUUGGUUUUGUCUUGCUAUCACUUGAAAUUGCCAUGAGUAGCUUUGGAGAUGGGAGGUUAUUGUGAUUGUUUUCCCUUGCCUUGACUUUGCACAUNUGGCAUCUUGAAAGAAGAGAUUAAAGUACCCCUUUGACUUGUGGACUUUUUAGAAGCAUUCUUUGCACCCAACUAUUGCAUUGCUCACGUGAAUUUGUGUGGCUUGGUGUGUGGUUUUGUUUUUGCUACAUGGAAAGGAGUGGUGGGAGGAUUUUGAAUGAUUUGGAAGGCAUAUGAUUGUUGUCUUGAAGUAUGGUGCAUAUGAGACAAAGAGUCAACACAUCUUGCAUGGUUCAUUUAAGGAAGAAAGUCAAGAAUUGAAGUUGGGCCUUGGUGGGCUAGGAGCUCACGACCCAAGGGGGUUUUCUCAAGCUAAUUGCACUUUUAAUUUGAUUUGGUAGAUGAAUAUUGGUCACAUAAUUGAUGGAUGAAAAAACAUGUUUAAUUACCCAUUUGUUUUGCAUUAAUUUGCAUAGUAGGAUUANUNGCUUUUGAUGUCUCUAAUUUAGUGUUGCAUUUUAUAGUCUUACUUGUGUUUAGAUAAUUGUUUGUUGAAAUGUUGGGAUUAGCACUUUAUUUUACCUUGAUGUUUUCUAACUUACACAGUUGAGUUUAAUGUCCAUUCGUUUUAAUUUAGUUAUUCGUAUUCGCAAAAACACUUUUCAAAACCCCCCCUUUUCGUGUUAGACUUGACUCUGAACCGUAGUUGGUCCUUGAGAGACGACCUAGGGGUCAUUCCCUAGCAUUAUACUGCAGUUCUAAAUUGCAAUCAAAUUUGUAUGGGCAGCGACACCCAUCACUCACUAUCAAGAAUCAGGGAGUCUUGAGAGAACAUUAUUCAUUGGAACUGCAUAGGGGGAGGUUACUAUUCUAUCGGGGGGCAUUCACUACAGAGAGGGAUCAUCGAUUUCGCGAGAGAUUUUCUCAUCUUCACUUGCAGAGAGGAACAAGGGGCGCCAACCAGAGGGAGGAGAAGGAGGCCAAGCACGAAGCUGACUAAGACAAGUAGAGGGGUAAGUAUCCUUGCUCCUUCUGUUGCAUGGUAAGUUGCUUUUGUUCUGGCUGAGUAUGAUAUGAUAGUAUGAAUAUGUUCCUUUAUCCGCCAUUGUUCAACGCACAAGUGCUUCACCUUUAAUCAAUCCUCUCCUUGAUUCUUCCUCGGAUGGCUUCCAUGCGCCAUUUUACUGCUUAUAUUUCCAUGUUCAUCCUACUUGAUAUACCCUGUUCAUGGUUCCCCUGCUACACAUAAGCCAACAAAGAAUCAACCAAUCUUCCAGCCCCAUUCACGGUCCUAUUCUCCUCAUCACUACCGCGUCUUCAUACACCAUUUGCAAACCAAAUCAACCCUUUCCAUCGCAACAUCAACACGCACAGUGCCCCUCAUACCACACACAUAACACCAAAAAAAACUCACACGUAGUUAAACAGAAAAUCACACAGAGCACCACAGAACCGAACCAAUGGUACCCGUGCCAUACCCCCCUUUACCUGCAUCAAAUGAAUCCACCGCCAUCCCAUAGCCACUUUUCGAUUUCUCUCCGCCGUCAAGAUCAUCUAAUGGACUCCAUAUGUCGUUCACAUCCCCAUUAUCAUCCUUGUCAUUACACCUCUGUUCCUAGCUUCCCUGCAGAAAAAUAUCACAAAAGAGAACAAACCAAUAUUCAAACCCAAACCCCCA